rnacentral:rRNA from 1 species
GGUGUUGUUUGGUGCUUGCAUCAUGAUUUACAUUUGAGUGAGUGGCGAACUGGUGAGUAACACGUGGGGAAA